AUUUGAUAGAUCAUUAAUGAAAAACAUAAUAAAUGCUAUUAUUUUUCUGUGAAAAUAUUACAAGAAACGUGAACUACUAUAUUUGAGAAGUCACUACAAUAUCGUAACUAUAAUACAAGAAAUAAAUUUGAACAAAGCCACUAUCAAAAUCACAGCUAAAUGAAGUGAGUUAUGAAACAAGGUUCGAGAAGCGGCUCUUUAUAACAAUGAAAGUGGUGGCAUAGGUACACUUGCCGACUGUGUCAUGUCAUUACGAAUUGUUUCAAACCGUUUAGCGCUUGCUGCUGAUGGAG